GUGUGGGUCACGGCCCUGAAUUAUGGUACCACAUGCAUAAUUGCAUUUAUUGAGGAGUAUUAGAUGGGGAUGUCGUGUCAUAACAUGGGUUGCAUUUUGUUGAUUUGGAUUCUAUUAUGGAUGAUUGUUGUUGAUUAUGAAAUAACUAUGCUUAUUGAAUAAUCUUUGAUAUUGUAAGGUGUUAGAUUUUCAAUUGAUGUUUUUAUAUAUUAUUUUUAUUGAUUGAGAAUCUCACCCCUUCUGCUUGGAAAUGUUGCCCUUCCUAUGGGUAACUUGCAGGUGAUCCUGAGUAGUAGGUGGUGGCUCAAAGUGUCUAGGGCUCUGAUACGUGGGAUGGGAUUUUAUUAUUUUCUUUCAUUCCUGUGUAUCAAAUUUUGGAUAAUGCUGUUGUAGCCCUAUAUUUGUUGGAUUAUUUUGGUUGAGGCUUUUUAUGCCAAGAUGUUUUUGGAAGUUUAAACGGUUAACGUUGUUGCU
rnacentral:lncRNA from 1 species